UGACAGAAAACCCAGAACUGACUAAAACACUUUCUGCCAUUGGGAGGCAUGGGAACUCAGUAUGGCAUUAGAUAAAAAGUUUUACAGUAUGACCAGACAGCAGUCACAUCUUUUGUAACUACAUUUGGCAAACUACAUGCUGGGGAUGACAAGCAUCAUGGAAUGAAGUAUUGAAACAGUGACACGACUCCUACAAAGUCACAGGUAUAAUAAUGAAAAAUAACUCAACGUAUUCUGGGCCCCCACCCAAUGCUCAUUCCAGAUAAAGCUCACUGAAUUUGAAG